CUACGGGACGCUGCAGUGAGGAAUAUUGGACAAUGGGCGAGAGCCUGAUCCAGCCAUGCCGCGUGCAGGAAGACUGCCCUAUGGGUUGUAAACUGCUUUUAUACGGGAAGAAACCCACCUACGUGUAGGUGGCUGACGGUACCGUAAGAAUAAGCAUCGGCUAACUCCGUGCCAGCAGCCGCGGUAAUACGGAGGAUGCAAGCGUUAUCCGGAAUCAUUGGGUUUAAAGGGUCCGUAGGUGGACAAUUAAGUCAGAGGUGAAAUCCUGCAGCUCAACUGUAGAAUUGCCUUUGAUACUGGUUGUCUUUAAUUAUUGUGAAGUGGUUAGAAUAUGUAGUGUAGCGGUGAAAUGCAUAGAUAUUACAUAGAAUACCAAUUGCGAAGGCAGAUCACUAACAAUAUAUUGACACUGAUGGACGAAAGCGUGGGGAGCGAACGGGAUUAGAUACCCUUGUAGUC
rnacentral:rRNA from 1 species